rnacentral:rRNA from 1 species
GGAGGAAAGCAGGGGAUCGAAAGACCUUAUGCUUUUGGAGCGGCCGAUGUCUGAUUAGCUAGUUGGUGAGGUAAAGGCUUACCAAGGCGACGAUCAGUAGUUGGUCUGAGAGGACGACCAGCCACACUGGGACUGAGACACGGCCCAGACUCCUACGGGAGGCAGCAGUGGGGAAUUUUGGACAAUGGGCGCAAGCCUGAUCCAGCAAUGCCGUGUGAGUGAAGAAGGCCUUCGGGUUGUAAAGCUCUUUCAGUCGAGAAGAAAAGGUUGUGAUUAAUACUCACAAUCCAUGACGGUAUCGACAGAAGAAGCACCGGCUAACUACGUGCCAGCAGCCGCGGUAAUACGUAGGGUGCGAGCGUUAAUCGGAAUUACUGGGCGUAAAGGGUGCGCAGGCGGCUCUGUAAGUCAGAUGUGAAAUCCCCGGGCUUAACCUGGGAAUUGCGUUUGAAACUACAAAGCUAG